rnacentral:rRNA from 1 species
GAUGAACGCUGGCGGCGUGCCUAACACAUGCAAGUCAAGCGAUUCUCUUCGGAGAAGAGCGGCGGACGGGUGAGUAACGCGUGGGUAACCUGCCCUGUACACACGGAUAACAUACCGAAAGGUAUGCUAAUACGAGAUAAUAUACUUUUAUCGCAUGGUAGAAGUAUCAAAGCUUUUGCGGUACAGGAUGGACCCGCGUCUGAUUAGCUAGUUGGUAAGGUAACGGCUUACCAAGGCGACGAUCAGUAGCCGACCUGAGAGGGUGAUCGGCCACAUUGGAACUGGGACACGGUCCAAACUCCUACGGGAGGCAGCAGUGGGGAAUAUUGCACAAUGGGCGAAAGCCUGAUGCAGCAACGCCGCGUGAGCGAUGAAGGCCUUCGGGUCGUAAAGCUCUGUCCUCAAGGAAGAUAAUGACGGUACUUGAGGAGGAAGCCCCGGCUAACUACGUGCCAGCCGCCGCCGUAAAAC